GCCCUGGCGGCGGCGGCCCAUGGGGCCCUUGGCGCUGCCCGCCUGGCUGCAGCCCAGGUAGGGCGCUCGGCCGAAUCCCGAGGGGAGGGGGCGCGGGUGGAGGGCCUGGAGGCGGGAGCUCCCCUCUGCGGCGGGCGGGCGGGCGGCACCCCCCGCCCGCCAGCAAGGCGCAGCGCUACCGUGCCCAGGCACCCCUUGGAGCUCAUGCAGGUAUAGGAAGAAUGCGUAUCUUUUCAUCUAUUACUUAAUCCAGUUCUGUGGCCACUCUUGGAUAUUUACAAAUAUGACAGUCAGAUUCUUUUCAUUUGGAAAAGAUUCAAUGGUUGACACUUUUUAUGCUAUUGGACUUGUGAUGCGACUUUGCCAAUCCGUAUCUCUCCUGGAACUGCUGCACAUAUAUGUUGGCAUUGAGUCAAACCAUCUUCUCCCAAGGUUUUUGCAGCUCACAGAAAGAAUAAUCAUCCUUUUUGUGGUGAUCACCAGUCAAGAGGAAGUCCAAGAGAAAUAUGUGGUGUGUGUUUUAUUCGUCUUUUGGAAUCUAUUGGAUAUGGUUAGGUACACUUAUAGCAUGUUAUCAGUCAUAGGAAUAUCCUAUGCUGUCUUGACAUGGCUCAGUCAAACACUAUGGAUGCCAAUUUAUCCUUUGUGUGUUCUUGCUGAAGCAUUUGCCAUCUAUCAAUCGCUGCCUUAUUUUGAAUCAUUUGGCACUUAUUCCACCAAGCUGCCCUUUGACUUAUCCAUCUAUUUCCC
rnacentral:lncRNA from 1 species